rnacentral:rRNA from 1 species
UACGUAUGGGGCAAGCGUUAUCCGGAUUUACUGGGUGUAAAGGGAGCGUAGGCGGCGGGGCAAGCCUGAUGUGAAAGCCCGGGGCUCAACCCCGGGACUGCAUUGGGAACUGCCCUGCUGGAGUGCCGGAGGGGCAGGCGGAAUUCCUAGUGUAGCGGUGAAAUGCGUAGAUAUUAGGAGGAACACCAGUGGCGAAGGCGGCCUACUGGACUGUAAAUGACGCUGAGGCUCGAAAGCGUGGGGAGCAAACAGG